GAGGCGUCAGUAAACCGAUUACAUGGCCCUGUCAAAGCCAAGCCACAGGUGAAAGUCCUGUACACCUCU
rnacentral:tRNA from 1 species